rnacentral:lncRNA from 1 species
CACAGGGAUUUGUCUGGAAUGACUUUACAGCUCAGCAGGAAGCUUGCUAAGUGCCAGGACUCUCAAACUGCAAAAGAAGAUGAAGGAUUAGAAAAAAAUAACGAAGCCCUCCUAAUGUAUUUGGAACUGAACAGUGUCAUGUAA